UACUAUGUUACGACUUAUCUCGAAUAAAUAACGAGAGUGACGGGCGAUGUGUACACAUUCUAGAAACUAAAUCAUCAAUACAAUCUAAAAUAAUAAUUACAUUCAAAUCCAAUUUCAUAUCAAAAUUACACUCAAUAAUCCAAAAAUAAAUAUAAAAGUAACCCAUUUCCACUUAAUCAUAAAUUGCACCUUGACCUGAAAUAACUUAAAGUAAAAUACAGAAAAUUAUAAACACUAUAAAGAUCCUCAAUACAACGGCGGUAUACAAAUCAAUAAAUCAAGUAAGGUCCAACGAGGAUUAUCGAUAAAAGAACAGGUUCCUCUGAACAGAAUAAAAUACUGCCAAAUUCUUUAAGUUUCAAGACCAUAUCUAUUACUACUCAGGUUAAAUAAUUAACAUCAAAAAUAAUAGGGUAUCUAAUCCUAGUUU
rnacentral:rRNA from 1 species